rnacentral:lncRNA from 1 species
AGACUUCAGAGCCAAAAGUAAACCAAUCUGACUUUAUUCACCUGUAAGGAAUGGAAUAUCUGAUUGGACUCUGGUUUUUCAGUUUGCUUUCAUUAAAACUUUAAUGCAUCCGGCUUUAAAGCUUACAUUUCUCUCUGUAUUUUGAGGAGACCAAUCCACUUACAUAGAAUGAACUUACUUCAGGUUUUAUUAUUCUGGUUCAUCUUAAGGACAACAUUUGUUUCAAAAUCUGUGGAUCAGAUAAUUAGAAGCAAGACAUCUCUCUAUUUGUGGCCUACAACACUGGAAAGAUCCGCCUUCUUCUUUAUUGCCCAUCCUAUAGAAUAAAUAGACUGAGAGUUCAACUCUGAGAAAUGCUCUUUGUUUGAUGCUGUAGUGAGGUCCCUCAGUCUGAGAAGAGGGCAUAGUGUUAGGUGAAACUCUUUUUGACAAUUUAGCUAGCAAAAGCUCCAUGUUAAUAAAAUUACAAUUAGACUUCUGGAGUCUCUCAUUUCAAAAAAUGUAAUCCUUUUGAAAAAUUAAAAAGAAAAGAAAAGCGCAGUAAUAGAGGGAGGAUUAAAUGUGAUAAACAGCUGAUGAAUUAUUCAAUACUUAGCUUUGCUGGCAAGCCUACAGAAUUUAGUGAGAUUCCCUAAUUGACUCUCACACCAAAUUAUAUAAUUUUAUUCUAUAUUUUUACUGAAAAGCGCUUGUUAGCAAAAUGCUGAAUUUUGACAAAUGAACACAACAGUGUAACCACUCCCUUAAUGAAGACAAGAAAAAUUCUACUGUUUUCCUUAUAUCGUAGGAAUGUGUCCUCUUAUGCAAUUGCCAAAUUAGGCAAACUUUUCUUAAUACCAAGGGAAUGAAAAGCAUGUAUAAAUCUAGGCUGGAUAUACUCAAUAGAGUUAUAUUGGGACAGGGGCUAGGAGGAAAGAACAUCUGUGCAGGCUAACCAAAUAUGGCCAAUCUUCCUACCUACCAAGGAAAGGGAAAAUAAUGGCACGAAGGACAGGACCAAUGAUGCCUUCACGGAAUCUUCUGCAGCUAAGUCCUGGCCGUCCUCCCAUCUUGAUUACUGGCCUUCCCUUGUGUCUGAUACAGCUGAAUUCCAGGAUCUGAGAAGACUCCUGUUUGCAGGCAAUGUUCUCCCCGGAAGGGCCAUAAGAGGACUGGGCAGAACAUCCUGUUUGCAAGCAAGCUCAGCGGCAAGUCAGCUCCAUGAAAUGUCCUGUAUGCGAGCACAUUCAUGUUCUUAGGCCAGACCUCCUUCAGGUGGAAAUGGUGAUCUUCCUACAGAUAGAGCUUUUACAUAUAAAUAUAUCUCUCUCUUCACCAAAUUUUAGUGAUUAAUUGCUUAUUUUCAAUUGGGAAUGAGGUAGUUAAUUGUUAUUGAAUUCUAAUUGCUCUGCUAUCACCUUUCCCUUAUAAUAGAUAAAAUUUAGUGGCUACUGAUUGCUUCAUAUUUGGGAGGAUUCUCACUGGUUUCAGUUUUUAUAACAUAGUGCCAUUUAAAAGGUAUUUAAUUGCAUAAUUAAAUCUUACAUCUAUCAUUUUAAUUCAGAAUCUAGUUUCAUUAAUAUUAGAUUGCAAAAAGAGAGGAAACUGAGAAUAGAAAAUACAGUAACAAUAUAGAUGGCUUCUGAAACCAAUCAUGUGAUACAUAUUUUCCCACGAAUAUGUUGGAGUCUCCAUAACUGUGUUUCAACAUGGGCUGAAAAGAUAAGACUCUAUUGUGACAUUCCCUCUUUGACCCAUGAAUAUAUCUGAAGUAUGUAAAAUAAUGUUAGUUACUAUUUAUUGAACAUGUAUAUAUACUAUAAAAUUACAUUAUCUUUAAUUAUUGUAUCAAUUCCUCAAAGUAGGUGGGCUUAUAUCUAUUUUCAGAUGGCGAAACUGGGGUGGAUAAGAAUUAAGUGCUUGAAAUUAAGUACUUAAGAUUCUGUACCUAUUGGGAAGAAGAGGCAGGCCUCUCAUGACACUUCACCAUAUCAGUCCAAAUGCAAAGCUCAUGUUCCUUCCGUCCCCGGGCACUGUUGCCUCACUGGGAUUUAUCUCUACUUCUCUAAACAGAGAAAGCCCAGAGAUCCAAGCAACAGUCACUGUUUCUGUGAAGUCCCUCUGACAGAUAUGGACAAAUAAGCUGUGGUGAAUAAGGACAAACUUACCUCCAAAAUGCAAUGGGCAUAGUCUUAGGAGUCAGCUUUGUUCAAAUGCUGGCUCUGCCUUUUAAUUCACUCUUUGUGAUGAUGUACAAGAUUUGGAAGCUUAAAGCCCUAAAUUUUCCCAUACACAGACCUGACAAAUAAAAUUAAAUGAGCCUAUAAAAAUAGGCA